AAGGUUUUCGGAUCGUAAAGCUCUGUUGUUAGGGAAGAACAAGUGCAAGAGUAACUGCUUGCACCUUGACGGUACCUAACCAGAAAGCCACGGCUAACUACGUGCCAGCAGCCGCGGUAAUACGUAGGUGGCAAGCGUUGUCCGGAAUUAUUGGGCGUAAAGGGCUCGCAGGCGGUUUCUUAAGUCUGAUGUGAAAGCCCCCGGCUCAACCGGGGAGGGUCAUUGGAAACUGGGAAACUUGAGUGCAGAAGAGGAGAGUGGAAUUCCACGUGUAGCGGUGAAAUGCGUAGAGAUGUGGAGGAACACCAGUGGCGAAGGCGACUCUCUGGUCUGUAACUGACGCUGAGGAGCGAAAGCGUGGGGAGCGAACAGGAUUAGAUACCCUGGUAGUCCACGCCGUAAACGAUGAGUGCUAAGUGUUAGGGGGUUUCCGCCCCUUAGUGCUGCAGCUAACGCAUUAAGCACUCCGCCUGGGGAGUACGGUCGCAAGACUGAAACUCAAAGGAAUUGACGGGGGCCCGCACAAGCGGUGGAGCAUGUGGUUUAAUUCGAAGCAACGCGAAGAACCUUACCAGGUCUUGACAUCCUCUGACAACCCUAGAGAUAGGGCUUUCCCUUCGGGGACAGAGUGACAGGUGGUGCAUGGUUGUCGUCAGCUCGUGUCGUGAGAUGUUGGGUUAAGUCCCGCAACGAGCGCAACCCUUGAUCUUAGUUGCCAGCAUUCAGUUGGGCACUCUAAGGUGACUGCCGGUGACAAACCGGAGGAAGGUGGGGAUGACGUCAAAUCAUCAUGCCCCUUAUGACCUGGGCUACACACGUGCUACAAUGGACAGAACAAAGGGCUGCG
rnacentral:rRNA from 1 species